CUCCAUCGGCCCUUGGAACGCAUCUUGACCUUCUCAUCUGGAAAGAGAUUUGCAUUUGUCUUUCUGUGGUUUCCUGAGGCUUGAGUUGGUCUCCAUGGAUGUAAACCAGAGUGACAAAACAGGUGGAAGAGGAUGAGGGAAUCUGAUCCUGUUCAGACUUGGGGAUCUCCAGGAUCUGGUUAUGAUGUUUGAAUUUGUUUCUCGCCUACCAGGAUCUGGAUCAAAGGAAAAAAAUGAGAGAACUGAGGCUCGGUGAGGGUAACUGCCUAAGACGCCGUGGUGAAUUCGGGGAAGGGAUGGGGACCACGGUGUGCCUUCCCUCGGAGCGCACUGGGCACUGUUGUGUGACACCCUCAGACCCCGUGGCCUGGUGUUAAGUGAACAAUGAUGCCUUGUCAGUACUCAGUCCACAUUCUUGCCCGGGGAAUCCUUGCCUUCUCUUUCCUUUGCUCCCUCCCGACUCCCCUGCUUUCUCUGGGUACCCUGAACCA